rnacentral:rRNA from 1 species
UACGUAGGGUCCAAGCGUUAUCCGGAAUCACUGGGCGUAAAGCGUGCGUAGGUGGCGUGUUAAGUGUGAUGUUAAAUCGCGGGGCUCAACCCUGUCGGUGCAUCGCAUACUGGCAUGCUAGAGGGAAGCAGAGGCAAGUGGAAUUGGUAGUGUAGCAGUGAAAUGCGUAGAUAUUACCAGGAACACCAAUGGCGAAGGCAGCUUGCUGGGCUUCUUCUGACACUGAGGUACGAAAGCGUGGGGAGCGAACAGG